AUACCGGCUGCUCGAGUGAUGGCCACUAUUACUGGGUUUAAAGCGUCCGUAGCUUGACUGUUAGGUCUCUUGGGAAAUCUUCACGCUCAACGUGAAGGCGUCUAAGAGAUACCGGCAGUCUUGGAACUGGGAGAGGUAAACCGUACUUCGGGGGUAGGAGUGAAAUCUUGUAAUCCUCGAGGGACGACCUAUGGCGAAGGCAGUUUACCAGAACAGCUUCGACAGUGAGGGACGAAAGCUGGGGGAGCAAACGGGAUUAGAUACCCCGGUAGUCCCAGCCGUAAACAAUGUGCGUUAGGUGUGUCGGUAACCACGUGUUACUGAUGCGCCGAAGAGAAAUCGUGAAACGCACCACCUGGGAAGUACGGUCGCAAGGCUGAAACUUAAAGGAAUUGGCGGGG
rnacentral:rRNA from 1 species